AUGAAGGACAGCUGUCAGUCAUCCAGUGUUUUUGUACGGCGACUGAACCAGUUUGCAUCACUGUGGUGGACUUUCGGUGCAGGAACCAGACUGAAUGUUGGAAGUGAUACCGCCCCCACCCUGACGGUGCUGCCCCCCUCUAGUGAGCAGCUGCAGCAGGGGAAGGCCACGCUCAUGCGUCUGGCCAACAAGGGCUUCCCCUCAGACUGGAGUCUGGCCUGGAAGGUGGACAGCAGCAGCAGCAUCAGCUGGGAGGAGAGCAGGAGCCCCGUGGUGCUGGAGAAGGACGGCCUCUACAGCUGGAGCAGCACCCUGAGGCUCGAUGCAGACCAGUGGAGGAAGGUGGACUCUGUGACCUGUGAGGCCACCCAGGGCUCCCAGACUUCACUCUCACAGACACUGAGGAGAGACCAGUGUUCCCAGUCCUGACCUGACUCAC